rnacentral:snRNA from 1 species
UGAAACCUACUAAGGUAUAAGAG